GAUGAAGAACGUAGCGAAAUGCGAUAAGUAAUGUGAAUUGCAGAAUUCCGUGAAUCAUCGAAUCUUUGAACGCACAUUGCGCCCCUUGGUAUUCCGAGGGGCAUGCCUGUUCGAGCGUCAUUAUAACCCUCAAGCUCAGCUUGGUGUUGGGGCCUGCUGCACUGGCAGCCCUUAAAAUCAGUGGCGGCGCCAUCUGGCUCUAAGCGUAGUAAUUCUUCUCGCUAUGGAGUCCUGGUGGAUGCUUGCCAUCAACCCCCAAUUUUUCUAUGGUUGACCUCGGAUCAGGUAGGGAUACCCGCUGAACUCAAGCAUAUCAAUAAGCGGAGGA
rnacentral:misc_RNA from 1 species